GAUUGGUGUUUUAAAUCGAUUAGUUACCAACUUAGUUCAAGUCGUCAAAAUUCUUGGUUACACCUCUUUACAAUUUCAUCUCCUUCAAAAUGUCUACGAACUUCCAAUUAUAAAAGCAUUCAACAUGUGUCGAAUUCAAUUUCACUUUAAGUGAGAUAUAUUAAUCCGAUGACAAAAUUAGUUUCCUCAUUGAACCGGCAUACAGAUUUAGCUUUUUCCUGCGAUAAAUUGUUAGGGGAGUAAGCUCAAGAAGGUUAGUGGCUGUGAUCUGUCAUGUGAAAUAAUUGAGAUGCAUAGAUGUUGCAGUUGACAUGUUACGAUUCUCUUAAAUGCUUUGGAAUUAUCAUUAACGAUUCAUAUUAAAUGGUCGGAAAAGAUUUUGUGUUUAUGGAUAAUACAAAUAGCUUGUAGUCCACUUGCAGAGUAAGAUCAUACACCUUGCAAAAAUCCGCCUUAUGAAAACAACGGAGACGAUUCGCUAAUUUCGAUUCCUUGAACGGCCCCGCUCGUAGAUCAAUGACCAAUUCCAAAGUAGGAUGAAUAGGGAGAGGACGUGAAAGCGGGUCAAUUAUGUGCUCAACACUGUCGAAUGUAUCCAACAGAAUGAUCAAAUCACGAUAUCUGUCUUCUGUGUUAAGCACCCGAUACUCCUGCAAUGAGGACAUCUUAUGUAUACCAUCAAUAAAGUCUUGUGACAUAGAGGGUUACAGAAAGAUAAAAUCUAUUGGCGAUAACCAAGCAAUAUCCGAAAGAUUGAAGUCGCCAAAAACUACCAAGAACUCCUCGUCAAAAAGUAGUAUUGCAGAUGGCAGAUCACUAGCUCCCAGUUUUGCCAGCAGACGUGCUCUGUAUUCCAUAUCGAUAAGCCUGUCCUUUAAUAGGUUUAAAUAAUUAAUAACUGAUUUAUUUAUCGUUUUUAUUGCAGUCUAAUUCGAAUAAAUGUAACUUAUUUUAA